GGGCAAGUCUUACGCAACCAGCUCCUACUGAACCUCCCCAGGGUCGGAAGACAGCAAGGAUAAAGUGGUCGUAGCGGUGUGAUGUAAGUAGCUUGCCUUUU
rnacentral:SRP_RNA from 1 species